CCGCAGCCCGCGGGAAGCGCCAGGCCGGGCAGCGGCGGCCGAAGCGGAGCCGCCCGGCCGGGGCCGAGCAGCCAGGAGGGAGGGAAAGGAACUUCUGGGAUUUUUUCUCAGAAUUUUGAACUGACGGGAUACAUUCUUCCCACCGUGAAAAGAGAGGCUGGGGUGGAAUUCCAGGGAUAUCUGUGGAUCCUGGAAUGUCCAAGGUCAGCUUGGAGCAGCCUGGGAGAGCGGGAAUGAUCCCAGGCCACGGAAUAACGGGAUGAGCUUCACGCUCCUUCCCAUCCCAGAGCGUUCCCCGCUCCCGGCUCCUUUUCCGGGAUGAGGAUCCAAUCCCAGAGCUGCUCUUUUCCAAGGAUUUGAGGAUUCCCAGAGUUGCCAUCAGGGCGGGAUGGAGUUGGAGGCUGAGCCAUAAGCAUGGAAAAAUUCCGGGAAUGCGGCCGCAAACAGCGGGAAUCACCUUGGGAAUGAGAUGGGAAAAGCUGGAUCCAACUCCAGGCGUGUCCAGAGGCUCCUGCGCCGAAUCUUUGGGAAUUUUUCAUGGAAUUUCUGCUCCCGGAGCUGCCGAAAACCUUUGGAAAAAGACUUUUCUCCUGGG